UACGUAGGGUGCGAGCGUUAAUCGGAAUUACUGGGCGUAAAGUGUGCGCAGGUGGCCGCGCAAGUCGAGUGUGAAAUCCCCCGGGCUUAACUUGGGAAUUGCGCUCGAAACUACGUGGCUCGAGUAUGGCAGAGGGAAGGUGGAAUUCCACGUGUAGCGGUGAAAUGACGUAGAGAUGUGGAGGAACACCGAUGGCGAAGGCAGC
rnacentral:rRNA from 1 species